rnacentral:rRNA from 14 species
GUUUGGCACCUCGAUGUCGGCUCAUCACAUCCUGGGGCUGUAGUCGGUCCCAAGGGUAUGGCUGUUCGCCAUUUAAAGUGGUACGCGAGCUGGGUUUAGAACGUCGUGAGACAGUUCGGUCCCUAUCUGCCAUGGGCGUUGGAAGUUUGAGAGGGGCUGCUCCUAGUACGAGAGGACCGGAGUGGACGAACCUCUGGUGUUCCGGUUGUCACGCCAGUGGCAUUGCCGGGUAGCUAUGUUCGGAAGAGAUAACCGCUGAAAGCAUCUAAGCGGGAAGCGCGCCUCAAGAUGAGACUUCCCGGGGCACAAGCCCCCUAAAGGAACCAUAUAGACUAUGUGGUUGAUAGGUCAGGUGUGUAAGUACAGCAAUGUAUUGAGCUAACUGAUACUAAUGAUCCGUGC